AGUGAACGCUGGCGGCAGGCCUAAUACAUGCAAGUCGAACGGCAGCACGGCAGAGCUUGCUCUGUGGGUGGCGAGUGGCGGACGGGUGAGGAAUACAUGGGAAUCUGCCCAGUCGUGGGGGAUAACGUAGGGAAACUUACGCUAAUACCGCAUGCGCCCUUCGGGGGAAAGCCGGGGACCUUCGGGCCUGGCGCGAUUGGAUGAGCCCAUGUCGGAUUAGCUAGUUGGCGGGGUAAUGGCCCACCAAGGCGACGAUCCGUAGCUGGUCUGAGAGGAUGAUCAGCCACACUGGAACUGAGACACGGUCCAGACUCCUACGGGAGGCAGCAGUAGGGAAUAUUGGACAAUGGGCGCAAGCCUGAUCCAGCCAUGCCGCGUGAGUGAAGAAGGCCCUCGGGUUGUAAAGCUCUUUUGUCCGGAAAGAAAGCGCCGGGUUAAUACCCUGGUGUCCUGACGGUACCGGAAGAAUAAGCACCGGCUAACUUCGUGCCAGCACG
rnacentral:rRNA from 1 species